UACGGAGGGGGCUAGCGUUGUUCGGAAUUACUGGGCGUAAAGCGCGUUCAGGCGGUUUGGCAAGUCGGGCAUGAAAUCUCUCGGCUCAACCGGGAGAGGUUGUCCGAUACUGCUGGACUUGAGGGCAGUAGAGGGUGGUGGAAUUCCGGGUGUAGUGGUGAAAUGCGUAGAUAUCCGGAGGAACACCAGUGGCGAAAGCGGCCACCUGGACUGCACCUGACGCUGACACGCGAAAGCUAGGGGAGCGAACGGG
rnacentral:rRNA from 1 species